rnacentral:rRNA from 1 species
CCUACGGGUGGCUGCAGUCGAGGAUCUUCGGCAAUGGGCGCAAGCCUGACCGAGCGACGCCGCGUGCGGGAUGAAGGCCUUCGGGUUGUAAACCGCUGUCGUAGGGGAUGCAUAUCCUAGGAGGAAGGACGGGCUAAGUUCGUGCCAGCAGCCGCGGUAAGACGAACCGUCCAAACGUUAUUCGGAAUUACUGGGCUUAAAGGGUGCGUAGGCGGCGCGGAAAGUUGGGUGUGAAAUCCCUCGGCUCAACCGAGGAACUGCGCCCAAAACUACCGUGCUCGAGGGAGAUAGAGGUGAGCGGAACUUAGGGUGGAGCGGUGAAAUGCGUUGAUAUCCUAAGGAACACCCGUGGCGAAAGCGGCUCACUGGCUCUUCUGACGCUGAGGCACGAAAGCUAGGGUAGCGAACGGGAUUAGAUACCCUUGUAGUC